AUGGGUCUGUCUUGCCUUGACCGUGAAUUCUCUUGGGCCGAGAUCCUUGAUGCAAUCAACCACUCUCCGAACAACCGCAGCCCUGGUCCGGAUGGGUUCACAAAUGAGUUCUACAAGGCCUUCCACAACAUUCUCAAGGUUGACUUGCAGCGUUUCUUCUCAGAUCUGUACCAUAACCGGGUGGACCUGACUGGUAUCAACACGGCUUUCAUCUCACUUCUGCCGAAGAAGGAAACUCCCCUUGAUAUACGUGACUACCGACCAAUUUCCAUGGUCCAUAGUGUGCCCAAGCUUACGAGCAAGGUUCUCAUCCGUAGGCUGCAGUGUCACAUGCCUGAGUUGAUUCACUCGUUGCAGUCAGGUUUUGCUAAAGGGAGGUCUAUGGUGGAAAACUUUGCCAUGGCAGCUGAUAUGAUUCAGAGUGCUCACAAGCGACACUUUCCUAUGAUUGUUCUGAAGUUGGACUUCAGGAAAGCUUUCGAUAGUGUUAGUUGGGCAUGCCUUUUCAGCAUUCUGGAAGCUCGGGGUUUUCCUCGCAAAUGGAUUGGCUGGGUUUCUUCUCUCCUGCACACCUCCAGCUCUAGAGUCAUGGUUAAUGGUGAACUGGGUGACCCGAUCGUAUCCAAGAGGGGGUUCAGGCAAGGCGACUCUUUGUCUCCGUAUCUGUUCAUCUUGGUGGCUGCGUGUUGCAAAGGCUGUGCUGUGUUGCGUUUGAGGCCGGGAGGUUGA
rnacentral:rRNA from 1 species